GCACAGAGGCCUUGAGUGAGCCGCGUCCGGGCCGGGGCUCCCCGUCCGGGUGGCCGCCCCCGUGCGCGCCCCCACAUCUUUCCAUAGGUCCGCUGCUGAGCUCUGGGCCCUGGUGGGACCCGGGCCACGGGGCGCGCACGGAGGAGCCGAGCCGGUGGGAAGCCGCUCAGGGCCCCGCUGUUCAGUGCCCGCAGUGUCUCCCGUGACUGUGGCGGGGACAGAUUUCCACCGAGCUCCACCGUCCAGACGGUAGGGGGACGGCGGCCCGGGCCCGCGGAGCCACCCUUGGUCCCCAGCGUCUCCCCGCGGCGCUGUGCGUCUGAUGCUUUCAAUCUCCGUUUUAAAAGUGUCAACCUCCUGACAACCUCCUUCCAAAACAGGAAGCCCGAAAAACGUACAGACCGGAGGACUCUGAGGAUGAGGAGCUACCUUACUGCAGGGUCCCCGACUGCGGAAAGAACGAGCGGAGAAACGUGAAAUGGUCCUCCUCUUGGUGUAUUGGAUGUGAACUGUGUGGCUAGUUUCAUGUAUUGGGCGGUGCCCAACCUGAAAUCGAAUCUCACGAGAUCCCAGACAGGAGACAGAUGUGAGCCUCAGAGCAAAGUCUCUACCUAAUUGAUUGCAACUUUGGGUGGGGACACAGGAGCCACAUUCAGGAGCUCUGGGAAACCCGCCUGCAGUCCCAAGGAUGCCACUGCUGCCGUGUCUCUGUGACGCCGCCACACAGGAACAGUCUGCUGGGGACUGUCUGCAGGUACACAGAGGUGAGGUGAAUAUUCUCAGAAACAAGAGCGCCGUCUCAUCUGUGUAUGUGUUCAGAGGGUCCCUUGGCAGGAGAGGAGGAGCAGAUCUCUUGUGGGGCUAAAGCUUAAUAAUAACAGGCCGCUGGCCUGGGUUCUCUGUCACUUUAUUUUCAAAUCACUUAAGAGACUUCAGAUUUCAAAUGCUGGACCCAGCCCUGCUGUGGAGUCGCUGAUUGUGGGCUGAGCCUUGUGUCCUAUUGAACACCCCCAGGUACACAGCCAGGGCUGCAAAACAUUGAGCUUCUCAUGUGCUGUGACACUGGACUUGGACCAGGAAGGGGAAAAGUCCCGUAUUGAGUCCCCUGGGGGGAUAGAGGCCCUAGAUCACAGUUGAGUUUCCAGCCUUUAAGUUAAGAGCCUUCAAGGGCUCUCUGUAGACUGGCUGUCUUACCAACAGAAAGCCAAAGCUCCGAAAUGUUAACCUAGCCUUGAUAUUGUGUCUGUUUUCCUCUUUUAAAUUUUUUGUUUCAGGUAUCUGUAGUGAUUUAAAAAAAACUGUUAGUCAUCUGAAGAUAUCUCUUGCAAGGUGCAGAUGUAAAAUAGCCCUACAUACAGUGGGACCUCAGUUCAUAGACUUCUUUCCACAAUUUCAUUGUAAACCAAAUCAAAUUCAGUGGAUAGGUUCAAUGUUGACCUAUGGGGAAAUUUAUUAUUAUUAUUAUUAUUAUUAUUAGGUACCAGUGAUUGAACUCACCACCUCGCGCUUGCCAGGGAGGCACUUAUGCUGCUGAAUCAAAUCCCUGGCCAUUAUGGGGAAAUUUGAUUCAGUUCACAUCCAAUUUGGUUUGUAACCAAAAUCAUAGAAAGAAUUAAAUUCAUGAACCCAGGAACCACUGUAUUGUUUUGGCUGUUUUGACCCAGUCUUCAUUUCUAGAUAAGCAUGAGAGAAUCUCAGGAAUCCAUAAUCCUGUUCUCCAGGGGGAAUGCUGAUUUUAUCUACCUUUCCUGUCCUCUCUGAGGCACAUUUAAAAUGUGUGGGUUCUGAACUGCCCUUGUUUUUACUUAUAAUAUGUGAUAAACCAACCUCCAGCAGUUCCCCAACACCUUCUAACGCCUGCGUGGUCUCCUGCUACAUGGAUGGAGCCUAGUUCACUGGAGCACUUUUUAUUGGUGAACUUCUGAGUCACUCCAAAUGUUACUAAUUUGGAGCAGUGUUUUUUGAACUUCGUGUGUGCCUUUGCAUUCUUUGUCCUACCUGGUAGGAUGCACUGAUGACGUGAAGUUGGUGAGGUUGGGUACAUCGAGGUUGUAAAUGUACAGUUCAGUGUCAACAUCCAGAAAACUCGUGCAGCGUACAGUUAGGAUGUGCGAAUUCCAUUUCCUCACCCUGCACCAGCACUUAAGCCCUGCAGGAAUGAUUAGUAAAAGUGACUUGUUAUUGCUGUGAGUGUUCAUUCUGUGUAACUUCUUUAGCUUAAAAAUUUAACAUUUUAGCUCAGCGGCAUAAGCACCUGCCUUGCAAGCAGGCGGUCAUGAGUUCGAUCCCCAGUACCAGUAAAAAGAAAAAAGAAAAAAGAAAUUAACAUUUUAAAAGUUAAUAUAAAAAAAAGUUAAUAUCACCUGGGAUUUAGCUCAGUAGCAUAAGUGCCUGCCUGGCAAGUGCUAGGUGAGUUCCAUCCCUGGUACCAAAAAAAAAAAAAAAAAAAAGUUAAUAUCUGAUUUGUUAACAAGAAGAAUUAGAUUGGAAGAGCUUUUUCCAAAAUAUACCCAUUCUGCCACGGAUUUAGCUCAGCUGCAUAAGUGCCUGCCUGGCAAGUGCACGGUUGUGAAUUCGAUCCCCAGACAUAUAUAUAUAUGUGUGUGUGUUUCUGUGUAUAUAUAUAUUCAUUAACACUUUUCAUCCCUUUAUCCUCCCACCUUUCCCUUUUCACCCUUCCCGAUUCUUUUCCCCAUCUCUGAAAAGUAUACACCAUUCUUACCGUAUCUCCUUUAUUUUACUCUUUUUUUAUAUUUUCAGUAUCUCAUAGACCAUUUCUCAGCUGGGUAUGGUGGCACAUGCCUCUUUUUUUUUUCUGUCUUUUUCGUUUUUAUCGGUACCAGGGAUCGAACUCACGACUGCCUGCUUACAAGGCAGGCGCUUAUGCCGCUGAGCUAAAUCCCCAGCCCCAGCACAUACCUCUAAUCCCAGCACUCAGAACACUCCAGAGGCUGAGUCAGGAGGAUUGUCAUGAGUUGGAGGUCAGCCCGGGCUACAUGGUGAGUUCAAGGCCAGUGUAACCUACAUAGUAAGACCCUUCCUCAAAAAAAAUUUCUCAUAUAAUGGACCACAUAUACUACAUCUGUUGCAACACAUGACAGACAUAUUGAAUGAUAAUGAUUUAUAAUUAAAUAUAAAUAAAUAGUAUUAUUAUAGUAAUACUUUAAGUGAUAAUUAUAUAAUUAAACUUUAA